rnacentral:rRNA from 1 species
AGUGAACGCUGGCGGUAGGCCUAACACAUGCAAGUCGAACGGCAGCACAGGAGAGCUUGCUCUCUGGGUGGCGAGUGGCGGACGGGUGAGGAAUACAUCGGAAUCUACUCUGGCGUGGGGGAUAACGUAGGGAAACUUACGCUAAUACCGCAUACGACCUACGGGUGAAGGCAGGGGACCUUUGGGCCUUGCGCGAAUGAAUGAGCCGAUGUCGGAUUAGAUAGUUGGCGGGGUAAAGGCCCACCAAGGCGCCGAUCCGUAGCUGGUCUGAGAGAAUGAUCAGCCACACUGGAACUGAGACACAGUCCAGACUCCUACGGGAGGCAGCAGUGGGAAAUAUUGGACAAUGGGCGCAAGCCUGAUCCAGCCAUACCGCGUGGGUGAAGAAGGCCUUCGGGUUGUAAAGCCCUUUUGUUGGGAAAGAAAUCCAGCUGGCUAAUACCCGGUUGGGAUGACGGUACCCAAAGAAUAAGCACCGGCUAACUUCGUGCCAGCAGCCGCCGUAA